UACGUAGGGUCCGAGCGUUGUCCGGAAUUACUGGGCGUAAAGAGCUCGUAGGUGGUUUGUCGCGUUGUCCGUGAAAACUCACAGCUCAACUGUGGGCGUGCGGGCGAUACGGGCAGACUGGAGUACUGCAGGGGAGACUGGAAUUCCUGGUGUAGCGGUGGAAUGCGCAGAUAUCAGGAGGAACACCGAUGGCGAAGGCAGGUCUCUGGGCCGAUACUGACACUGAGAAGCGAAAGCAUGGGGAGCGAACAGG
rnacentral:rRNA from 1 species